rnacentral:rRNA from 1 species
UACAGAGGUCUCAAGCGUUGUUCGGAUUCCUUGGGCGUAAAGGGUGCGUAGGUGGCGCGCUAAGUCAGGUGUGAAAUUUCGGAGCUUAACUCCGAAACUGCAUUUGAUACUGGCGUGCUUGAGGACUGGAGAGGAGACUGGAAUUCAUGGUGUAGCAGUGAAAUGCGUAGAUAUCGUAAGGAAGACCAGUGGCGAAGGCGAGUCUCUGGACAGUUACUGACGCUGAGGCACGAAGGCCAGGGGAGCAAACGGG